UGAAUAAAAAAGCAGACACAGGGUUGUCAGUUCAUGGACUUAAACAAAGAAAAAGAGAAGGCCCAUUUCAACCAAGCCCAGAAGAUAACUUUUUGCAUAGUCAUAACUCAGAAACCGUAAUUUUCUCUGCUUUCGAAAGUUAAAAAACGCGAUCUUUCACACUGAACCAGCAAAAUGUGACUCAAAAUGCUUACCCAGCUCCUCAGAGAUAACUGCUCCCACCUCCGUCUCCAUCCACCAAAAGCCGACAACUUUUCGACCACCACACUGGUGGAAGCCACAACUCUAGCCACCCUUGUUCUCAAUUCAUCAAACCCGCAAACUCUAGCCCAUUCGCUUCACUCUCCCGCCAUCCAAUGGACCCCGCAGCUAGUCAAUGCAGUCCUUAAAUGUCUCUGGAACCACGGUCCCAAGGCCCUUCAAUUCUUCAACCUCCUUUCCCACCAUCCUUCCUACUCCCACCACGCUUCCUCCUUUGACCACGCUAUCGACAUCUCUGCCCGCCUCCGUGAUAAUCGCACCGUCUGGGCCCUCGUUUCUCGCAUGCGCUCUAGCCGCCUCGGCCCCUCCCCGAAGACCUUCGCAAUUAUUGCUGAAAGGUAUGCUGCAUCGGGAAAAGCCCAUAGGGCAGUGAAAGUUUUCAUGUCUAUGCAUGAAUAUGGAUGUUUUCAAGAUCUUUCUUCAUUUAAUACAAUUCUUGAUGUGUUGUGUAAGUCGAAACGAGUAGAAAUGGCUUAUAAUUUGUUUAGGGCUUUAAGGGGUAGGUUUAAGGCUGAUUGUGUUAGUUAUAAUAUAAUUGUUAAUGGCUGGUGUUUGAUUAAGAGAACACCAAAAGCCUUAGAGGUGUUGAAGGAGAUGGUGGAGAGAGGUUUAACACCAAAUUUGACUACUUACAAUAUAAUGCUCAAAGGGUAUUUUAGAGCUGGUCAAAUUAAUGCAGCUUGGGAUUUCUUUUUGGAAAUGAAGAAGAGGAAAUGUGAGAUUGAUGUUGUUACUUACACUACUGUGAUUCAUGGGCUUGGUGUUGCGGGUGAGAUUAAGAGAGCUCGAAAGGUUUUUGAUCAGAUGGUGAAGGAAGGGGUACUCCCUUCUGUACCAACUUAUAAUGCUUUGAUUCAGGUACUAUGUAAGAAGGAUAAUGUAGAUAAUGCCAUAUUAGUUUUCGAGGAGAUGGUGAAGAUGGGUUAUGUCCCUAAUUCAACAACUUAUAACUUGGUGAUUAGAGGAUUGUGUCAUGCAGGUGAAAUGCAGAGGGCAUUGGCAUUUACUGAGAGAAUGAAAUAUGAUGAAUGCAAGACAAAUGUUCAAACAUACAAUAUUUUGAUUAGGUACUUCUGUGAUUCAGGAGAGAUUGAGAAGGGGUUGGAUUUAUUUCAGAAGAUGGGCACUGAAGAUUGCUUACCAAAUUUGGACACCUAUAAUAUACUAAUAAGUGCAAUGUUUGUGAGGAAAAAGUCAGCUGAUAUCUUGGUGGCAGGGAAGUUAUUGGUUGAGAUGAUUGAUAGAGGAUUUCUUCCUCGAAAACUUACUUUCAAUCGGGUUCUUGAUGGGCUUUUAUUAACUGGUAACCAAGGCUUCGCUAAAGAGAUUCUGAGUUUACAGAGUCGAUGUGGCCAUCUUCCCAGUAAAUUUAAACUAUGAAGCCUGUAAGAAUUCAGAUUGGCCUCUAAAUUAUGCGGAUCUUGGUACAUUACCUUUUCUAUUUGUAAGAUAACAAUACUACUGCACUAUACUAAUUAACAAUGCUGCUGUUAUCCAUUCUAUGAUAUUUGCAGUGAAAUUAAAAAGCUAGGAGAGUAUAUGUUGAAAUGGUAAAGUAGGCAGGGCUUCCUUCAAUUUGCAAGUUGUGUUGCUUUUAUACAACUUUUGUAGAACUAUGCAUCGAAAAUGCUACACUUUAUCCCUGUGGAACGUGGAAAAGUGAAAAAGGUUGCAUCACUAAUUUGUUUGCUUUCAAUUUGGAGAUGGGCUGACUGUGCCCUGCAGUGAAAUGGGAAACGUCCUGAAAGUUCUUUUUAUUAAAUUAAUUUUUUUUGUGUUCUGUAGUGCAUUUUCAUUGAAUGAAGAACUACAAUGGGCAUUACUUGGCUUGGGAUUUCUUAUGCAUACUUCUGGAAGCAAGAAUAGGUGGGCAAUGGGUAUCGCAUACUGGCAUAUUUCUGUUGGAAAAACAAAAUCUUGUUUCGUUUUACUAUUGUGGAGAAGAGAUAAGUUUCCUUUUGAGUGAUGCUGGCUUGUUUAGGUCUUUUAUUAAUGGGUUUCUAGAAUGUAUUCUCCCCCUGGCUUUCAUGCUGCAUUUCAGCUUUCUAUGAUAAGAGAUUGUGUAUUUGAAGGUUAGUAUAAAUCAGUUUAUAAUGUACUUUAAUCUGUUGAUUAUGUAUUGUGGUGCUUUGCACAGUUGCACUUGUUUCCCCUUUUCAGGAAAUGUUAAAUCUUGAUGAAUUUCCUGAACUGAGAAAUCCCAAGCACUUGGAAAUGAAGAUUACUCUACAGACUAAUAAUAGUCUCCUUUAAAUAGAGGCCUCUCUAUUCAUGGUGAUUGGGGAUAUUUGUGUUUCAGUUGUGGCCUUGUGGGUAAGUUUAAUAUAACCUCAAACAAUAUUUUUAUGAAAGGCAAAUUAUAUGUUUUGUCCGGCCUGGCUUUGUGAAAGGCUUCCAUCUUGAGGGAAGUUUUAUCUUCUUUAGUCCAAUGUGCUUUUAGACUUCAUAGGUUGUGUAAAUUCAAUAAAUAAAUCAUUUGUUUAUUGGGCAAAAGGCAAUGUUUGGCAUGUAUGCAACAGAUCUUAUAAACUGAUGUCUUGCUGGAAAUGAAACAGUUCAUAAAUAGACACAUUGAUCAUUUAUUUACUAGAACUUUAGCGAUUAUUACUGCUAAUGGACUCAUAAGCUGGGGAAUAUGCUAAAAUUGUCAAUAUGAUAAAUUCAAAUGCGACUUGUGCAAUGUGUGCAUUGAAGGAGUUUAAGAUUGUUAAUAGGUUAAUUUUGUUCUAGCAGCCAAUUGAACCAUUUCAUCUGAUGUUUUAGAAACUUGAAGAUUAAUGUCCUCUCUCUAUAUGUGCUAAUAAUCACAUUAACAAUAUCAUUGGUGCUGCAGUAGUGUGAGCGUGUGCAUGUGCCAUUUCCUUUCUACAUUUGAGCAAGCCUCAAAAAUAUUGUUUUGAUACUUGCUACAGGUUUCUCCUUCAAAUGCAAGUGAGAAGUUGGCAAAUCAUACAUUUAGCACCAGAAGGUGGUGGAAUUGACCGUGAUAAUGACUGAGCUAUAGACCUUGGAUUUGUCAUGUAUUAGCACGCUCUUGUACUUGAGAAAUUGAUUGUUGAUACUUGCAUCGUUAACCAUUAUCCAUUGUAAGAGGAUAUUGAGGAGAAAUAUGAAUAAUUUCAAAUUUUGGGUUUUAGUCUUAAUGUGUAAUGCACUUACUAAAUUUGCAGCUGCAAUUUAGGGGAAAAAUACAAGGAAAAAUUAUGGGAAAAUUUCUUCAUUGAUUUUCUCUCUUCUUAUUUGGAUGAGAGAAAUUAGAACGAAAUAUUUCUCCAUUUAUUAUUACUAUUUUUUUAAUAUUAAGUAAGUUCAGACGCGUGAAGUUUCGAGUUUGUUUAAUUAAAGCCCAUGAACUGCUCAAUUCUGAAGGGCGAAGUAGUGAUUUCGGUGGUGUCCAGAGGCGCGUUAUGGUUAUUCAAAUUCCCGCUAAGCUGUCUCCAUGAUUCAAAGUUUUAAAACCCAAACGCAUUCCUCUCUUUGAAAAUUGCUGCGGCGCCAUUAAUCAUCAACCCCUCUUCUCCGCUCGCUCUCUCUCUUUUUUUUACGGCCCAUUGCCGCACAAUCACUAUACACUUUAUCUGUACUUUUCCCUCCAAUUCCAUUUCUUAAUUUACGGUCCUUACACUUCCUUCAAUAUCUCAGAUCCCUCUGCAAAAUCAUGCCUUUAUCAUCUAGCGAGGCGCCGGAAUCCUCCUGUCGUCACCACACCUACAGCAGGAAACAGAAGUCUCUCGGUCUCCUCUGCACUAAUUUCUUGAGCUUUUAUGAUAGAGGCGGUGUUGAAGUCGUUGGACUGGAUGAAGCUGCCUCUAAAUUAGGCGUUGAGAGACGGCGGAUCUAUGAUAUUGUCAAUGUUCUAGAGGGCGUCGGAGUUCUUGCAAGAAAAGCAAAGAAUAAAUAUACAUGGAAAGGAUUUGAGGCAAUCCCUAAAGCUCUUCAGGAGUUGAAGGAAGAGGGUUUGAGGGAGAAUUUAAGCAGUUUUGAUAAGCAUCGGAGCAGCAAUUAUGAGAAAGUAUCAUAUGAUGACAAUGAUGAUGAGGAUGAGUGUGAUUCCAACCCUAACACAGGAAGCCAGAAUGAUAAUUCCAUUCCCAGUGGCAUUGUCAAAUCAACGGCAGCUUCAAGAUUUGAUAACAGAAAAGAAAAAUCUUUGGGACUUCUCACACAGAAUUUUGUCAAGCUCUUUGUUUGCUCUAAAGCGGAUCUAAUUUCCCUUGAUGAAGUUGCAAAGCUAUUGCUUGGGGAUGCCCACAAUUCAUCAAUAAUGAGAACAAAAGUAAGACGGCUUUAUGACAUUGCAAACGUGCUAUCUUCCUUGAAACUUAUUGAAAAGACUCAUACAGCAGAAGCCAGGAAACCAGCAUUCAGGUGGUUGGGUUUGAGAGGGAAACCUGAAAGUGGAUCUGAUGAUGCCUUGGCGGAGUCUAGGAAAAGAACAUUUGGAGCUGAUGUUACUAACAUUUGUUUCAAAAGAAACAAAGUGGAUUCUUCACCUGAUGGAGACAGAAACGACAAUUUAAAAUUGCAGAACCAAAUAAAAGUCGAGAAUGCAGUAACAAUCGCUGAUAGAAGUGCUUUGUGUCAGGAUUUCUCAAACAGUUACCAGUUUGGCCCUUUUGCUCCUGUUACAGUGGCCAAAGUUGGUGGCUCGGAUAACAAAUUGACUCAAACUCAUGAUUGGGAGAGUCUUGCGUCUACUUACCGUCCUCAUUAUCACAACCAAGGUAUAACUUAUUGCAUAAUCCUUGCAAUUGAAUGAAAUGCUUUGCUCAUUGCACAAACUUUUCAUGAUCUAUUUACCUGAAGUUGAGCAUCGGAAAUGUGGGGUGAUUUUGAAGUGUACUGUCUCUUAACAUCAUGUAGUCUGCUAAUUUGACAGCUAAUAACUCUCCCUCAAUAAGCAUAAUUUUCAGAUGGUUUAUCGUUUUGAUAUUUCACGGUAAAGCCUUGUCUAGGGAUGGACAUGUUUCCCCCCACAAGUCCAUCUUAUUUUCUAUUGGUGGAAGUACAUGGUUCUAUAUUUCUAUUCCCAUAGGGGCCCAAAUAAGUGACAGUGAGGUAAUAGAACAUAUUUGAACCUUGUUAUUGCUAAUCUAUCUGAUACGGUUGCACCUUUAUCAGUAUUAUGUAAAAAAAGUGUCCAUGCGAACACAAUACUGAAAAAGAUAGAAACUUUGUUUGCAUUGACACCUGACGGUUAGGGACCGCGUUCUCAUUAACAUUCGCCUAAUGCUGUAAAUUCAAAGCAAUAUUUCAUGUUAUUUUGGGACCCAUCAUUUAGGAUGUCUAUUGGGCAAUUGACUGUUUGUCUGGCAAUGCACUGUACACUUGAAGUUUGCACUAGAAUAUAUCAAAACAUGAAGCUGAUUCUACUGAUUUUUUUCAGCUUUGAGAGAACUUUUUGCUCAUUACAUGGAAGCAUGGAAAUCAUGGUACACUGAAGUCGCUGGGAAGAAGAAACCAAUACAACAAGUCUCCUGAUGCUUCACCUCUCUGCAUUGCCCAGUGAACUUCAAAUAAUUUGGGUUUUUCAUACUUUUAAGGAGAAGAGUUGUGGCCUUACAUUGGAUGCAACUACUCUUAUGCCCAUCCUCCGGAUAUUUUAUUUCAUUUAUCUUAGUGUUGAGAUUUGUACACAUGAUUGCAAGCUUGAGUGCUACAAAUUUGUACUCAAUUUCUACCAUCUAAUGCAUCCAAGCAAGUGGAAAAGAAUAUUCUGUGCCUUUCCGUUUUUCCUAUGGAAGGGCAAUUAAAUGCUUAACUUUUCUAUUGUUCCUGGCUGUUUCGGUCUUCUCAAUGUUGAAAUGUGUGAUGGCUCACAAUUUAAUUAUGAAAGAAUC
rnacentral:misc_RNA from 1 species